UUCAGUGCUUGCUUUGAUAUACUAAAAAUUGGAGGUGACACGGAGAAGAUUAGCAUGGUCCCUGAACCAGGAUAAUACGCAAAUUCGUGAAGUGUUCCAUAUUUGU
ensembl:snRNA U6 U6 spliceosomal RNA